UAGGGAAUCUUCGGCAAUGGGGGGAACCCUGACCGAGCAACGCCGCGUGAGUGAAGAAGGUUUUCGGAUCGUAAAGCUCUGUUGUUAAGGAAGAACGAGUGUGAGAAUGGAAAGUUCAUGCUGUGACGGUACUUAACCAGAAAGGGACGGCUAACUACGUGCCAGCAGCCGCGGUAAUACGUAGGUCCCGAGCGUUGUCCGGAUUAAUUGGGCGUAAAGCGAGCGCAGGCGGUUAGAUAAGUCUGAAGUUAAAGGCAGUGGCUCAACCAUUGUAGGCUUUGGAAACUGUUUAACUUGAGUGCAGAAGGGGAGAGUGGAAUUCCAUGUGUAGCGGUGAAAUGCGUAGAUAUAUGGAGGAACACCGGUGGCGAAAGCGGCUCUCUGGUCUGUAACUGACGCUGAGGCUCGAAAGCGUGGGGAGCGAACAGG
rnacentral:rRNA from 1 species